rnacentral:rRNA from 1 species
UACGGAGGGUGCAAGCGUUAAUCGGAAUUACUGGGCGUAAAGCGUGCGCAGGCGGUUUGUUAAGUCUGCUGUGAAAUCCCCGAGCUCAACUUGGGAAUUGCAGUGGAUACUGGCAGGCUGGAGUAUGGUAGAGGAAGGUGGAAUUCCCGGUGUAGCAGUGAAAUGCGUAGAGAUCGGGAGGAACACCAGUGGCGAAGGCGGCCUUCUGGACCAAUACUGACGCUCAUGCACGAAAGCCAGGGGAGCAAACGGG